rnacentral:rRNA from 1 species
GACGAACGCUGGCGGCGUGCCUAAUACAUGCAAGUAGAACGCAGUUGCGAACGGGUGAGUAACGCGUAGGUACCUGCCUCAUAGCGGGGGAUAACUAUGGGAAACGCUAGCUAAUACCGCAUACUGUGAGAUGGACCUGCGUUGUAUUAGGGAGUUGGUGAGGUAAAGGCUCACAAAGGCGACGAUACAUACCCGGCCUGAGAGGGUUAACGGCCACACGGGAACUGAGACGCGGCCCAGACUCCCUCGGUAGGCAGCAAUAGGGAAUCUUCGGGCAUGGGCGGAAGUCUGACCGAGCAACGGCGCGUGAGUGAAGAAGGUUUUCGGAUCGUAAAGCGGUUUUUUUAGAAAAGCGGUAACUAACCAGAAAGGGACGGCUAACUACGUGCCAGCAGCCGCGGUAAUAC